rnacentral:rRNA from 1 species
GGAAUAUUGGUCAAUGGGCGAGAGCCUGAACCAGCCAAGUAGCGUGCAGGAUGACGGCCCUAUGGGUUGUAAACUGCUUUUAUACGGGGAUAAAGUGAGGGACGUGUCCCUUUUUGUAGGUACCGUAUGAAUAAGGACCGGCUAAUUCCGUGCCAGCAGCCGCGGUAAUACGGAAGGUCCGGGCGUUAUCCGGAUUUAUUGGGUUUAAAGGGAGCGCAGGCUGAAGAUUAAGCGUGACGUGAAAUGUCCCGGCUCAACCGUGGAACUGCGUCGCGAACUGGUUUUCUUGAGUGAGUACGACGUCAGCGGAAUUUGUGGUGUAGCGGUGAAAUGCUUAGAUAUCACGAAGAACUCCGAUUGCGAAGGCAGCCAACAAGGCCUUUACUGACGCUAAAGCUCGAAGGUGCGGGUAUCGAACA